AACGAUCUAUCUUGUUAAGACGACAUCUUUUUGAAGCAAGUAAUUUCCUCCGGCAAUAAAAAAUCAUUCUUCAAUUCUUUAAAAGUCUCUUUAAUAAAUAGAUGUUUAAUACUCAUUGGAUCUCUUAAACUUGCUUUUUUUUAUGCUUCUCCCAUUUGUUCCUUAGAAUUUCUGAUAAUGGUCUGACAACACGCUUUAC
rnacentral:lncRNA from 1 species